UCAAAGGCACAAUUAACUGAUCUAGAUCAGCUUGACAGGCGAUCUUGAUUAGCAAAUAACUCUUGCAUAAAAGGAAUACUCCUCCAUCUGCUAGCAAUAUUUAGUUUCCAAAGAUGAAAGAGUUCAAUGAAGAUAUAGAUCUGCAAACACAACCACAAAUAUAAGUUAAUGAUGCAUAUACACACACACAAACAUACAAGAAAUGUGCAUAAUAUAGCAAGCUUUCAAAUGACCACAUAUGUGAGGAUUUAAUCCUAAAGUGUCAAAUCCAUAGAUCUAUCCACAUAGAAGAUAAAAAGAGUCCUCAUUCCCUAGAACUCUAUUGAUUGAAAUAUAUAGUACUCCCUCAGUAGCAACUACCAACUAAGGAAUAUAAAGGAUCAUCGGUUACAAUCAGUUCGUGCAUAUGUUGAAACAUUAGGUCAAUAAAUGCAUAAGUUCAAUUUUAACCAAUCUGUGUUCAAUCUUACAAAAAUUCAACGAUUUCUCUGUAUCGGCGCACUAAUUCUAUUAUGAAUAUGAGUGAAGUGUUGAUGAACAAGUGAAUGUUACCGUUUCAAGCACCAAAAGGCGUUUGUGAUGUUUCAAACAUUUGCUAAUAAUCAAAGUAGCAACGAAUCAGAGAAGCGUUAAAACAGAGAGACUAGAGUCAUUUGAAGGCAUCAAGUUAGUGUUGUCGUCAGGAUCUAAGCAAAUCGUGGCUUUGGGAAAAAGAAGUGUAUAAUUGCUUUUCAUGUGUUGCUAGCAUGAAUGUUUUGGGAAGACGAUAUGGAAAUAGCAGUGGAUGACCUAGAAUUUGGGAAGAUGAAAAGAAUUUAAAACAACAGGUUAAUUCCCGCCUAAAUGAACCAAGAACAAAAUUGCUAUCGAAAAAAAUAAACGAAUCCACAACGCCUGAUAAUAAAGUGCAAUUAAUAGAGUAAACGAUAAUAAAGUGCUAUUAAUGAGUAAACGAGCUGUAUUUAUUGUUUAUAUAGUACGGUUUUCUAUACAAUCGUAUUAUAUUUCUGUGUAUUCUUUUCUAGUAGUGAUAUCAAUCGAUGUUACCUUAAACCAUUGAUCGUUAUGAUAUUUCAAUUCUCAGUAACGUGCAAUAGAAGUGUGUGAGAUAAAUGAUCAAGAAUAAUACCACAGUCGACAGAUAAUAUAUAAUAUCGAGGACUUUCUCUAAAACAAAUUUUCAAUGCGUCGAAAGAAGAAGAUGAAGAGAGAACAGAAACUGGAACAAGAAACUUACCGGAGAUAAUCGUCGUCUGAAAAAAGGAUGAGAAAUAUGGCGGCAAAUAAUCGUCGUCGAAAACAAUGAGAGAAA
rnacentral:lncRNA from 1 species